rnacentral:misc_RNA from 1 species
GAUAGUGGAGAGAAUUACCAGAAGCUGGCAAAUAACUGACGACUAAAGAAAAACGAAUGAGGCAAAAUCUAAGCAACUCAGGUCAAGGUAACAAAUGUGAAGAGAAGCUCCCUAAAGUUAAUUGGUCCCAACAUGCCAAUGCACAUGAUAAUUUUUCAUCUGAGAAAAAGUUUUUGAGUUCAAAUUUUCUCUUUUCACUAGAAAGCCAGAAACCUCAAGGUUCUGCAGCUAUGAGGUUAACAUGCUGUCAAAUUCAGAGUUUGCAAAGAUUGCAGAAUCCAGAAAUUGAAAAGGCUUGGCGCACUCUUUCCAGUCUUCAGAUUUCUCGCAGGAACUACUUGCAGCCGGGGAAAACUGGUCCCUUUAAGGGUGCAAGGAAUGACUCGUUACAGGAUGUUGGACAACCUACUUUACAAAGCUUAUCUAACAGUAGGAAAUACUCUGAACGUAUGCAUGUACCUCAACACUUUGGUGAAUCCAGUGUGAGGAAUAAUGAAUCUGAAAGGAACACUGGCAAUGUUUUUCCACAAGAUAAUGCUAGAGCUGCUGAAGCUGGAAAUGAUACAGGGCAGCAAAGUGACAUUAAAGGAUCGGCAGCUAACAAUACUCAGUCUAAAGCAUAUGCUAGUUCAUUCAGCAAUCACAUUGUGCAUACUAACCAAAAUAAAGAAUCUACAGAAGCUCUGGCUGAUAUUGAUGAUGAUGAUCUACUUGGGAACAUUGAUGUGGACCAAAUAGUUAUGGAACAUUACCAUUCUACUUGCACCCCUCAACCAUCAGUUUCCAAGUUUCCACCCAUAACACCAACCAUAGAUAAAAAUAAUUUUGUGAGAUCAGAGGAGACAUUUUUGCCUCCUGAAUUGAGCCAAAACUGCAAUCAUGGAUGUAAGCUAGGACUUUGCCCAGAAGCUGCUAAUCAUUUACCAGAAAUGAAGGACGUGCUAAUUUCUGUGUCAAAUGAACUACUUGACAAUACUGCCAACCUGAGUCCAGUGCAGAUAGAGAAGCUUCGCCAGGAUAGGUUACAGCUGAAUAAGCAAAUUCAGCAGCUUGAGAGAUAUCUGCAUGAUAAGGAAAGGCAAAAGUCACAUUUUUCUACUUCCACAGCGAAUUUCCAAUAUGAAACACCACAAUCUGCUGCUUGCAGAAUAGAUACCCCGAGAUUUAAUUCACAGGUUCAUCUUCAAAAUGAACCUGGUAGUUACGACAAUUGGAAUUUGCCAUCAGUUUCAUUCUCUUCUGUAAAUAGUUUUGGUGUAUCAUCUGGUCCUAUAGAGAGGGAGCCUUACAUUCCAAAGUUCAUUGAAGUUAACUAUAUUGAAGGUUCAAAUGAUCCAAAGUGGAGCAGUACAAAUUUCCCUUGGACAAAAAAGUUGGAGGCCUACAACAAGAAAGUGUUCGGAAAUCACUCAUUUCGGCCCAAUCAAAGAGAGGUCAUUAAUGCUACAAUGAGUGGGUUUGAUGUUUUUGUUUUAAUGCCAACUGGAGGUGGAAAGAGCCUGACAUACCAGCUGCCUGCUCUAAUUUGUCCAGGAAUAACCUUGGUAAUUUCACCUCUUGUGUCACUUAUUCAAGAUCAAAUAAUGCAUCUAUUGCAGGCAAAUAUAUCUGCUACUUACUUAAGUGCCAAUAUGGAGUGGACUGAGCAACAGGAGAUCUUAAGGGAACUCUGUUCUGAUUACUGUAAAUACAAGUUGUUAUAUGUCACACCAGAGAAAGUUGCCAAAAGUGAUGUUCUUUUACGACAUUUGGAUAGCUUAAAUGCUCGUGGCUUGCUUGCUAGGAUUGUUAUUGAUGAAGCUCAUUGUGUGAGUCAAUGGGGACAUGAUUUUAGACCGGACUACAAGGAACUCGGUAUCUUGAAAAAGAAAUUUGAGAAAACUCCUGUUUUAGCUUUAACAGCAACUGCAACAGCCAGUGUAAAGGAGGAUGUUGUACAAGCUCUUGGUCUUGUUAACUGCAUUGUUUUCCGGCAAAGUUUUAAUCGCCAAAAUCUAUGGUAAGUGUUGAACAUAGAUGAACUGCUGCCAUAUUUUAAAUUGAUCACUUAUUGUUAACACUGCAGGUAUUCUGUCAUCCCCAAGACAAAGAAGUGUUUGGAUGAUAUUGACAAGUUCAUUAAAGAAAACCAUUUUGAUGAAUGUGGUAUUAUUUAUUGUCUUUCAAGAAUGGACUGUGAAAAGGUUGCUGAAAAAUUGCAGGAAUGUGGACAUAAAGCAGCGUUUUACCAUGGUAACAUGGAUUCUGCACAACGCGCCUUCAUUCAGAAGCAGUGGAGCAAAGAUGAAAUUAAUAUAAUUUGUGCUACAGUUGCAUUUGGAAUGGGUAUCAACAAACCAGAUGUCCGCUUUGUAAUUCAUCAUUCUCUCCCAAAAUCUAUUGAAGGUUACCACCAGGAGUGUGGUCGUGCUGGUCGAGAUGGUCAGCGCUCAUCUUGUGUGUUGUAUUACAGUUAUAGUGACUAUAUACGAGUCAAGCAUAUGAUUAUCCAAGGACAGAUGGAGCAAAGUCCCUGGACUCCUGGAUAUAAUCGUACUAAUAUGACAAAUUCAGAGAGGGUACUGGAGAAGAAUACUGAAAAUCUUCUACGAAUGGUCAGUUACUGUGAAAAUGAUGUUGACUGUAGACGCCUCCUUCAACUUCUACAUUUUGGAGAAAAGUUUGAUUCUGGAAACUGCAAAAAAACAUGUGAUAAUUGUUCCAAGAUCAAAACUUUAGUGGAGAAGGAUGUCACUGAGAUCGCAAAGCAAUUGGUUGAACUGGUCAAGAUAACAGGGCAGCAGUUUUCUUCAUCUCAUAUUUUAGAAGUGUACAGGGGCUCCUUGAACCAACAUGUCAAGAGAUACAGACAUGAAACUUUGAGCCUGCAUGGGGCUGGAAAACAUCUGGCCAAGGGUGAAGCUUCCCGAAUAUUGCGUCAUCUUGUCACUGAAGAUUUUCUUGUGGAGGAUGUUAAGAAAAGUGAUAUUUAUGGAUCUGUUUCAUCAGUACUGAAGGUGAAUGAAUCCAAGGCCCACAAUCUAUGCUCCAGUCGGCAGACUAUCAUAUUAAGAUUUCCUUCAGCUGUAAAACCAUCUAAACAGAGCAAAUUUGAUGCGACUCCUGCAAAAAGCUCACUGACAUAUGGGAAGCAAAGUCCUUCACCUGUUGACACUCCUGCACAAGCAGCACAACCUCAAUCUGAAGUGGACUUGAAUCUAUCUGCCAAAUUAUAUUCUGCUUUAAGAAUGCUCCGAACUACCCUUGUUAAAGAAGCUGGGGAGGGGGUUAUGGCGUACCAUAUAUUUGGUAAUGCCACACUGCAGCACCUUUGCAAAAGAAUUCCCAGAACAAAAGAAGAACUGCUUGAGAUAAAUGGCAUUGGAAAGGCCAAGGUAAGUAAGUAUGGAGAUCGUUUGCUACAAACAAUUGAAUCUACAAUCAGGGAAUACUAUAAGACAGACAGGAAUAGCAGCGGUAGCAAUGACAGCACUGAUUCGAUAAAGAGGAGAAGAGAUGCAACUAGGGCACCAAAUGGGAAUGUGGAAGAGGAGGAUGACUUCACCAAAAGUACUGGUCGGUCAAAGAAAAGGGCAGCAAAGUUGCAUAACGCAGAUACGGAGGUUUAUAAUUGCAGGGAGACAGAUCACAACCAAUGCCUGGAUGAUGACCUAGAUUUUGAGGAUUCAUAUCAUGAUCAAGAAACUAAUGGCGCAGAAAUAGAGGCCGAAAAGAACGGUGCAGGACGAGUGCUUCCCUCAUGGUUAACACCAGGAAACAAGAUUAAAAGUUCAAACCAUAAUUUGUUUCAAGAAUAUGCCAUGAACAGCUAAGUUUCUUGAUGUAUGCUAACUUUAUUCUGCUUCUUCAAGAAAGAAUUCAAUCAAAACAUGAUUCAUUCUGUACAGUUUUGUAUCUCUGGUUCUUAUUAAAGGCAAACGCCUUUUAUAAGUAUCAUGUUACAGAGUUCUCAGUAAGUGCGACAUCUGGCUAAAAGCCUGCAGCUGGUAAAUAAUGUAUUCUGAAAGGUGAUUAAAUUUAUGGCACUUAUCGUCA